rnacentral:rRNA from 1 species
GUGGAUAGUAUGAAUGGUUGAACGAAUAUCCCACUGUNUUAAAGAAAACUAAAAGAAAUUGAAAUAAUAGUUAAGAUGCUAUUUUAAACUGUAAGACGAAAAGACCCUAUAGAGCUUAACUAUAAUCUCUAUUAUUUAAACAAAUAAUUAAUUUGUAUACCAUAGAGAUUGGUAGUUUAGUUGGGGCGACUAUCUUUUAAAUUAAACAAAGAUAAGCAAUGUUAAUAAAAGAUUUAUUGUAUAAUUAAUUUAUUUAACAAUUAUAAAAAUAGGCUAUAAUGACCCGUUAAUAUUUUAUAAACAAAUUAACGAUCAAUUGAUAAAAGCUACCUUAGGGAUAACAGGAUAAUUUCAUUUUAGAGCUCCUAUCGAAAANGAAGUUUGUCACCUCUAUGUUGAAUUAAGAUAUCCUGGUAAUGCAGA